AAAAGGACAAACCCUGGGUUUCCGUGUCCAACAUUUGACCGUCCGUCUUAUUUGAAAAAAUUAUGAAAAAUUAAAAAGACAAGUCACGCAUAAAGUAUUAAUCAUGUUUUAUCAUCUAACAACAACGAAAAUACUAAUUAUAAAAAAAUUUCAUAUAAGACGGACAGUCAAACGUUGGACAUGGAAACCCAGGGUUUGUUUUUUU
rnacentral:pre_miRNA from 1 species